ACGAGGUCCGUGGUCAUCUUGUGCAAGAAGUCCUGCCGGGCGUCGCGCACCCGGGAGUGCGACCGCGCGAGCUUCCGCCUGGUCUUCUUGCGGUUCUGGGAACCUUUGAUCUUGCGGGCCAUCCUCCGCUGGUACCGUCUGAGCCGCUCCUCGUGACGCUGCAUGUGUUUCGGGUGAGCAACGCGACCACCGUCGCUGGUGACCGCGAAGUCCGUCAACCCCAGAUCAACACCUACCGUCUUUUCGGUAGGUAGCGCGGGAGCAGGGUCGUCCUCAUCGACUACGAGUGUGACGAACCAGCGGCCGUCAGCCUCCCGAGACACGAUCACCGUUGUCGGACUCAGAACCGCCAGGUCCACAUUCGGCCACGACCACACCACAUCCAGAGGCCUGACGGUCUUGGCUAGCCACAAUCGGCCGCCGCGCAUCCGAAACGCCGAGCGGGUGUAGUGCGCGGACUGACGUCCAGUACGAGCCUUGUAACGCGGAUAGUGUGCCCGCCCAGCGAAGAAGUUGGUGAACGCGGCGUGCUGAUGCCGCAGCGUUUGCUGCAGCGGAACUGACGACACCUCAUUCAGAAACAGCAACUCGGGGU
rnacentral:antisense_RNA from 1 species